rnacentral:rRNA from 1 species
UCGAGAAUCUUCCGCAAUGGGCGAAAGCCUGACGGAGCGACGCCGCGUGCGGGAUGAAGGCCUUCGGGUUGUAAACCGCUGUCAGUUGGGAGGAAAUUAUGGGGGGCUAUCCCCUCGUAUUGACCGAUCUUCAGAGGAAGCGCAGGCUAAGUUCGUGCCAGCAGCCGCGGUAACACGAACUGCGCGAACGUUAUUCGGAAUCACUGGGCUUAAAGAGUGCGUAGGCGGCCGGGUAAGUUAAAUGUGAAAGCCCACGGCUCAACCGUGGAAUUGCGUUUAAUACUGCUCGGCUUGAGGAAGACAGAGGUGAGCGGAACUGAUGGUGGAGCGGUGAAAUGCGUUGAUAUCAUCAGGAACACCAGUGGCGAAGGCGGCUCACUGGGUCUUUUCUGACGCUGAGGCACGAAAGCUAGGGGAGCGAACGGGAUUAGAUACCCCCGUAGUCC